AAGAAAAAAACUGAAAAACUAUCGGAAACGAGAAAUGAAUUAAAGGAAAUUAAAUUAAAAUGCAAAUGACAGAAUAAACUGAUGAGAUGAAUGAGGGAUUCAGGGCGGAACGCAGACGUUGUGAAGCUCUUCCUCGGAUGUCAUACUGAACCAUCAAGCAAAUUGAGCGAAAUGGAUCAAUCUCAAGUCAACCUAACCUAACAAGUUCGUGGAUUGACUUAAAUGGAUCCGUGUUGUUUUAUAGACAUCUAUAUGUUGUUUUUGGUGUACAUUGGUAGUUCUAUAGUAGUAAUAUACAAAAGCAAAACUAAAAAAGUUUUUAGGUUAACUGGUCGUUUUCGCUUGACCCUCUAAAUACGCUAUUUGUGGUU